ACGCUCGACACCUACGGGAGGUAGCAGUGGGGAAUAUUGCACAAUGGGGGAAACCCUGAUGCAGCGACGCCGCGUGGAGGAAGAAGGUCUUCGGAUUGUAAACUCCUGUUGUUGGGGAAAAAGNGGAUGGUACCCAACAAGGAAGUGACGGCUAACUACGUGCCAGAGCCGCGGUAAUCUGAGCGGGCUGGCAAGGC
rnacentral:rRNA from 1 species